GUAAAGCGUGCGCAGGCGGUUGUGCAAGACCGAUGUGAAAUCCCCGAGCUUAACUUGGGAAUUGCAUUGGUGACUGCACGGCUAGAGUGUGUCAGAGGGGGGUAGAAUUCCACGUGUAGCAGUGAAAUGCGUAGAGAUGUGGAGGAAUACCGAUGGCGAAGGCAGCCCCCUGGGAUAACACUGACGCUCAUGCACGAAAGCGUGGGGGGCAAACAGGAUUAGAUACCCUGGUAGUCCACGCCCUAAACGAUGUCAACUAGUUGUUGGGGAUUCAUUUCCUUAGUAACGUAGCUAACGCGUGAAGUUGACCGCCUGGGGAGUACGGUCGCAAGAUUAAAACUCAAAGGAAUUGACGGGGACCCGCACAAGCGGUGGAUGAUGUGGAUUAAUUCGAUGCAACGCGAAAAACCUUACCUACCCUUGACAUGCCACUAACGAAGCAGAGAUGCAUUAGGUGCUCGAAAGAGAAAGUGGACACAGGUGCUGCAUGGCUGUCGUCAGCUCGUGUCGUGAGAUGUUGGGUUAAGUCCCGCAACGAGCGCAACCCUUGUCUCUAGUUGCUACGAAAGGGCACUCUAGAGAGACUGCCGGUGACAAACCGGAGGAAGGUGGGGAUGACGUCAAGUCCUCAUGGCCCUUAUGGGUAGGGCUUCACACGUCAUACAAUGGUGCAUACAGAGGGUUGCCAAGCCGCGAGGUGGAGCUAAUCCCAGAAAAUGCAUCGUAGUCCGGAUCGUAGUCUGCAACUCGGCUACGUGAAGCUGGAAUCGCU
rnacentral:rRNA from 1 species